rnacentral:rRNA from 1 species
CCUACGGGAGGCAGCAGUGGGGAAUAUUGCACAAUGGGUGAAACCCUGAUGCAGCGACGCCACGUGAGUGAAGAAGUAAUUCGUUAUGUAAAGCUCUAUUAGCAGGGAAGAAAAUGACGGUACCUGAGUAAUAAGCCCCGGCUAACUACGUGCCAGCAGCCGCGGUAAUACGUAGGGGGCAAGCGUUAUCCGGAUUUACUGGGUGUAAAGGGAGCGUAGACGGCAGUGCAGGUCUGGAGUGAAAGGGGCGGGCUCAGACCCCGGACUGCUGUGGAAACCGGACGGCUGGAGUGCAGGAGAGGUAAGUGGAAUUCCUGGUGUAGCGGUGAAAUGCGUAGAUAUUAGGAGGAACACCAGUGGCGAAGGCAGCUUACUGGACUGUAACUGACGUUGAGGCUCGAAAGCGUGGGGAGCAAACAGGAUUAGAUACCCGGGUAGUC